GGGGAGAUGGCUCAGUGGUCAAGAGCACUGGCUGUUCUCCUAGGGGACCUAGGUUUGAUUCCCAGUGUGUCCA
rnacentral:tRNA from 1 species